GGCGCCUUAGGAUGGAUCUGSGCCGAUUAGGUCGUUGUUGGGUAACGGCCCAACAAGCCGAUAAUCGGUACGGGUUGUGGAGCAGAGCCCGGAGUUGGAUUCUGAGACACGAAUCCAGGCCCUACGGGGCGCAGCAGGCGCGAAAACUUUACAAUGCGGGCAACCGUGAUAAGGGAACCUCGAGUGCCUGUACAUGCAGGCUGUCUGGGUGUCUAAAACACACCCAAAGAAAGGGCCGGGCAAGACCGGUGCCAGCCGCCGCGGUAAUACCGGCGGCUCGAGUGGUGGCCACUUUUAUUGGGCUUAAAGCGUUCGUAGCUGGGUUGUUAAGUCUCUUGGGAAAUCUGGCAGCUUAACUGUCAGGCGUCUAAGAGAUACUGGCAAUCUAGGAACCGGGAGAGGUGAGGGGUACUUCGGGGGUAGGAGUGAAAUCCUGUAAUCCUCGAGGGACCACCUGUGGCGAAGGCGCCUCACCAGAACGGCUUCGACAGUGAGGGACGAAAGCUGGGGGAGCAAACCGGAUUAGAUACCCGGGUAGUCCCAGCCGUAAACGAUGCGCGUUAGGUGUGUCGAUGACCACGAGUCAUCGAGGUGCCGAAGGGAAACCGUGAAACGCGCCGCCUGGGAAGUACGGUCGCAAGGCUGAAACUUAAAGGAAUUGGCGGGGGAG
rnacentral:rRNA from 1 species